GGUCUAAAUAUACAAUGUUUCUAUUUUGUUAAAAAAUGUAAUGGCCCCUUUAAGAAAUCUUCUCUCUCUCUCUCUCUCUCUCUCUCUUCUCGCGAUACUGUUUGCGCGAUUUGGAUGCGUGCGCGCGACCAGAGAAGCCAUUCUCACUGUACAUGAGAGCUCCAUGUGGUAGUGCAUGCAUUUCGUCUAAUCUAAUGUAGUUUCAUCAUCUUUUCGGUCAAUGCUUUUGGAUCGCGUGUCUGACGAGUGAACCUCGUGGCAAAUAGUAAAGGAUUAUUGGCCACUGCCGUAUUCCAGUCUAUAUUACCAUUUU